UGCAAGUCGAACGGAAAGGCCUCUUCGGAGGUACUCGAGUGGCGAACGGGUGAGUAACACGUGGGCAAUCUGCCCUGCACUUCGGGAUAAGCCUGGGAAACUGGGUCUAAUACCGGAUAGGACCUUUAGACGCAUGUCUUUUGGUGGAAAGCUUUUGCGGUGUGGGAUGGGCCCGCGGCCUAUCAGCUUGUUGGUGGGGUGAUGGCCUACCAAGGCGACGACGGGUAGCCGGCCUGAGAGGGUGUCCGGCCACACUGGGACUGAGAUACGGCCCAGACUCCUACGGGAGGCAGCAGUGGGGAAUAUUGCACAAUGGGCGCAAGCCUGAUGCAGCGACGCCGCGUGGGGGAUGACGGCCUUCGGGUUGUAAACCUCUUUCACCAUCGACGAAGGUCCGGGUUUUCUCGGAUUGACGGUAGGUGGAGAAGAAGCACCGGCCAACUACGUGCCAGCAGCCGCGGUAAUACGUAGGGUGCGAGCGUUGUCCGGAAUUACUGGGCGUAAAGAGCUCGUAGGUGGUUU
rnacentral:rRNA from 1 species